CCCCGCCCCGGGAAAGGAGUGUGCACGCGCUUCGGGUGCGUGAAGGUGGAGGGUGAGAAGGCUAGCACUCCUUGCGCUGGCCUCCGUCACGUUUCUAUCGGCUGUGGGGAAUUGGGAAGAAGAGCUUUGAGCCACUCGCUCUGCCAGGUAAUGUGGCUACGACACGGCCCGCUGUAGCGCCGGGCCUGAGUCUUAAAUCUGAGGUUAAUUCUGAACGAUGCUCCGGCUUGCGGCCCCCUUCGCCUGGCCCCGGCCGAACCACAGAGCCCUAUUCAGGCUUUGAGGGACUGAAGAGCUCAAGCGGCGCCCUUUGCCAAGUCCAUGCAUACCACCGCUUCCGCCAGACACUCGGGUCUCUGAGGCACCUACUCUGAGAGCUCCAAAGAGAGGGUGAGGCCAGUUCUCCCCUUUCCCAAGAAGAGUCUGAGACUGAAACCUUGAUGCUGAGAACACCUUUCCCCUUUCUGAUGCAAGCAGCUUGCAGAUUGUUAAUGCCGGAGCCUGAGGCAAGAAUGUCACAGACCUUUCCCAGGUGUUUGUUAAGGUUCUCCCAACAGGACAAUAAACUCAUCUGGAAGGCAGAGGGCCUGCCCAUUCAUAAACCUGUUGAUGUGGUCCCCAGAGUACCAGUUUAAGAUGGCAAGACCAACACUGUUGAUUCUGGGGCCAGAACUGGGACAAGUCCUUGAUUUGUCUACACUAGCUGUAUACACCAUCUACCUCCUGAGAGGAUUCAUUUUUCUUCCUAUUGCAACUCACUCUCGCAGAUGGAGCAGUCAUUUUGAGAGCAUGAAGAUGAAGAUACGUGAAAAAGCCAGAAGGACUCUGGUCUCUCAAGUGUUAAAAAGGAGGAGUUGAGAAGAACUGGACCAAACAGCAGGUUGAGAGUACCCACAUCUGCCAAAGGGGCAGGGGGCUCAGAUGAAAUGAACAAAGUCAUGGCCCUCACGGGGUUCAGCUUCAUUGGAAAGACAGACCAGGAACCAACUCAUGACCACGGGGAGAGCACCAUGAGGGUAUGGACAUGCUGCAUGGACCCUAAAGGAGCAUGUUCUGAAAUUGACUUGAGCUGAGCUGAGCCGGGGCGAAGGGGAGGCAGCCAAGGCAGACAUCUGAGAGGAGGUGCUGGCCCUGCAGCCACCUUUUAAAACACGGUGUAAAACAUGGCUGUGUGUGCGGUGUGUGGAAGCAGGAAAGCGGGUGAGGUCAUGUCCGGGGCCGGAGCACAGUGUGCCUCAAGAGAGAGACCAGACAUCCCGUAAGAGGCAGAGAAGGCCCAUCGCUUUAAAAGCCUCAAGCGCAAUGCCAAGGAAUUCUAUCUUUAUUCUAAAACAAAUGGGCAGUCAUUAAAGGAUACUAAGCAGAAAAAUGCAUUGACUAGACAUGCAUGUUGGAAAAUGUACUUUGAUCAAAUUUGGUGUUGUUUAUGGUCAUUUCUAUAAAGUAUUUGGCAUUGGAAACUUAGUCAGGAACUUCACCCCCUAAUAGGACCAUUCUAAUUUCUUUAUAUUUCCUCUGAAAUUGACACCCGAAAUAAAGCUGACUUCCUAUGGAACUCUAUGCAUUUUCUGACUUUCCUUCCCUGGGCCACUCUGCUCCUUGGGGCCUCCUUUUGAAUCCAAGAAAUCAAUAUAAAAGUAAUUGAAUAUAAAUAAUCUAUCCACUUCUUUCCAUUCAUUUAUUUCUCAAGGCUAGUUUUUACAUGACUCUAUAUAGAAAAAAAAAUGUGACAAGGGACCGUCACUGUGUGCUUUAAAUGCAGACGAUAACUAAUGUUGAAGACAAUGAAAAAUAAGCCCAAAUUUCUAGUCUGUUAUAGGACACUGAUUGUAUUAGUCCAUGCAGAGGAAAUUUAGAAUCAAAACCAGUUAUAAAAAACAAACAUUAAAAACAGUUUGGGAGUUACCUUGCAGUGCAGUGAAUUAAGAAUCUGCUGUUGUCACUGCCACAGCUCAGGUCACUGCUGUGGCCUGGGUCCCAUCCCUGGCCUAGUAACUUCCACAUGCCAUGGGCAUGGCCAAAAAAAAAAAAAAAAAAAAGUUUGAAGGAUAGGGAUCCUGAGUAAUUAUUCUGUCUGCCCAGAGCACAUGCAGAUCCAUGUUUGUUUAUCACAUAGAUGUGUGUUCACUGAAAGUGAGGCCACAAGUAGAGAAAUUAUCUCUAAACUGAACAUACUUUAUUUAAUUUAAUUAAUUAAUUUAUUUUUUGUCUUUUUAGAGCUGCACCCUCGGC